rnacentral:rRNA from 1 species
AUGAACGCUGGCGGCGUGCCUAAUACAUGCAAGUCGAGCGCACGGACGAGAAGCUUGCUUCUCUGAUGUUAGCGGCGGACGGGUGAGUAACACGUGGAUAACCUACCUAUAAGACUGGGAUAACUUCGGGAAACCGGAGCUAAUACCGGAUGAUAUUUUGAACCGCAUGGUUCAAAAGUGAAAGACGGUCUUGCUGUCACUUAUAGAUGGAUCCGCGCUGCAUUAGCUAGUUGGUAAGGUAACGGCUUACCAAGGCAACGAUGCAUAGCCGACCUGAGAGGGAGAUCGGCCACACUGGAACUGAGACACGGUCCAGACUCCUACGGGAGGCAGCAGUAGGGAAUCUUCCGCAAUGGGCGAAAGCCUGACGGAGCAACGCCGCGUGAGUGAUGAAGGUCUUCGGAUCGUAAAACUCUGUUAUUAGGGAAGAACAUAUGUGUAAGUAACUGUGCACAUCUUGACGGUACCUAAUCAGAAAGCCACGGCUAACUACGUG